rnacentral:rRNA from 1 species
GACGAACGCUGGCGGCGUGCUUAACACAUGCAAGUCGAGCGGUAAGGCCUUUCGGGGUACACGAGCGGCGAACGGGUGAGUAACACGUGGGUGAUCUGCCCUGCACUUCGGGAUAAGCCUGGGAAACUGGGUCUAAUACCGGAUAUGACCUCCUAUCGCAUGGUGGGUGGUGGAAAGAUUUAUCGGUGCAGGAUGGGCCCGCGGCCUAUCAGCUUGUUGGUGGGGUAAUGGCCUACCAAGGCGACGACGGGUAGCCGACCUGAGAGGGUGACCGGCCACACUGGGACUGGGACACGGCCCAGACUCCUACGGGAGGCAGCAGUGGGGAAUAUUGCACAAUGGGCGAAAGCCUGAGGCAGCGACGCCGCGUGAGGGAGGACGGCCUUCGGGUUGUAAACCUCUUUCAGCAGGGACGAAGCGCAAGUGACGGUACCUGCAGAAGAAGCACCGGCUAACUACGU